CCUACGGGAGGCAGCAGUAGGGAAUUUUCGUCAAUGGGCGAAAGCCUGAAGGAGCAAUGCCGCGUGAACGAGGAAGGUCUUCGGAUCGUAAAGUUCUGUCAAAGGGGAAAAAGAGCGGAGAGAGUAAAUGCUUUCUGAUUGAUAUUACCCUUCGAGGAAGUCACGGCUAACUAAGUGCCAGCAGCCGCGGUAAUAGUUAGGUGGCGAGCGUGAUCCGGAUUUGUUGGGUUUAAAGGGUGCGUAGGCGGAAUGCAAAGCCAGAGGGAAAAUCUCGGGGCUAAACAUCGCUCCGCCGUGGAAACUGGCGUUCUUGAGUGGACGAGAAGUAUGCGGAAUGCGUGGUGUAGCGGUGAAAUGCAUAGAUAUCACGAAGAACACCGAUUGCGAAGGCAGCAUACCGGCGCCCAACUGACGCUGAGGCACGAAAGCGUGGGUAGCGAACAGGAUUAGAUACCCGAGUAGUC
rnacentral:rRNA from 1 species